rnacentral:lncRNA from 1 species
GUUGGGGCGAGCAGCGGCCGCUCCGGGGGCCACCUGCAGCGCUGGGGGCCGCCUCCCCGGGGCCCCUCCGACGACGGCUGGGGAGGGGGCGGGCAUUAAAUGCUCGCCCUUCCCCAGCCGUCGUCAGAGGGGCCUCAGCCGCCCGCCCUGCCUGCGGCGAUGCCGUGUCCCGCUGAGGCGGGAGAGGGGCCGCGGCGGCGCGUGAUGGGAGGUGUCCCCCGGGCGAGCAGCAGGGGAAAUGGCGGCCGCGCAAAUUUGAAAAGCCACCUCCUGCCCUAGUUGGAUCACUGCAAGUGAAUAAAAAGCUUCAGAGUGGACAAAGAAUCUUUACAGGACAACUGAAAGGUCCUGAGUCUUUUACUGUUGAUGAUGAAGGCCUCCAAUAUCAGCGUUGGUUUGCUGCAUGCUCAGUUAUCAGAAACUCCAGAUUAAGAACCAAUGUGUGGCCGGCCUCAUGGAGCCCGAAUGGAUCAGGAUGGCAACUUGAUUGUGGUAGAUUCUUAUUUUGGCCUGUAGAAAGUCAAUCCAAGGACAGGAGAGAAAACCAUCCUGCUAUCGAGUGAACAAG